UACGGGGGGAGCAAGCGUUGUUCGGAUUUACUGGGCGUAAAGGGCGCGUAGGCGGCCAGCACAAGUCAGUUGUGAAAUCUCCGGGCUUAACUCGGAAAGGUCAACUGAUACUGUGCGGCUAGAGUGCAGAAGGGGCAACUGGAAUUCUUGGUGUAGCGGUGAAAUGCGUAGAUAUCAAGAGGAACACCUGCGGCGAAGGCGGGUUGCUGGGCUGACACUGACGCUGAGGCGCGAAAGCUAGGGGAGCGAACGGG
rnacentral:rRNA from 1 species